rnacentral:rRNA from 1 species
UAAACGCUGGCGGCGUGCUUAACACAUGCAAGUCGAACGGAGUACUUCUCCCGAGACCGAGGAAGCUUGCUCCAAAGAAUCAUUGAAGUACUUAGUGGCGGACGGGUGAGUAACGCGUGGGUAACCUGCCUCACACAGGGGGAUAACAGUUGGAAACGACUGUUAAUACCGCAUAAGCGCACAGUAUCGCAUGAUACAGUGUGAAAAACUCCGGUGGUGUGAGAUGGACCCGCGUCUGAUUAGCUAGUUGGUGAGGUAACGGCCCACCAAGGCGACGAUCAGUAGCCGGCCUGAGAGGGUGUACGGCCACAUUGGGACUGAGACACGGCCCAAACUCCUACGGGAGGCAGCAGUGGGGAAUAUUGCACAAUGGGGGAAACCCUGAUGCAGCGACGCCGCCGUGAGUGAUGAAGUAUCUCGGUAUGUAAAGCUCUAUCAGCAGGGAAGAUAAUGACGGUACCUGACUAAGAAGCACCGGCUAAAUACGUGCCAGCAGCCGC